UACGUAGGGGGCAAGCGUUAAUCGGAAUUACUGGGCGUAAAGCGUGCGCAGGCGGUUCCAUAAGACAGAUGUGAAAUCCCCCGGCUCAACCUGGGAACUGCAUUUGUGACUGUGGGGCUAGAGUACGGUAGAGGGGGAUGGAAUUCCCCGUGUAGCAGUGAAAUGCGUAGAUAUGCGGAGGAACACCAAUGGCGAAGGCAAUCCCCUGGACCUGUACUGACGCUCAUGCAAGAAAGCGUGGGGAGCAAACAGG
rnacentral:rRNA from 1 species